CGGUUCGCCGUUCCGGGCUCGCCGGGUUGGGGAAAGGGAGGUGGAGUUUCCAACAGGGAACUUGACCCGUUAGCGCCGCAGCCAUGGCGGCGCGUUCGCCUCCCUCACGGCACCCUUCGCCCCCAGCGCGACAGUUGGGCCCCAGGUCCCCACGUGUUGGGCGGGGAGCUGAGGUACACGCAGUGCGCAGCGAGGCCUCGGGUUUUGCCGGCGCAGCGCGGGAGGUGGUCGCGGACAAAAGUGAUAAAAUCUGGGUGGGCGAAGAAGGGUCAGGGGGCCGGCGAGGGCCUGGGGGGGCAGCUCCGGCUCAUGCUCCCCUCCUCAGCGCGCCCAUGGGGUCCAGACGGCUAGAGGGCAUCUCGGUAGAGGAGGCGAUGGUGACCCGGACGCAGCUGCUGGAGGAAGAGCUGAGCAGCCUAAAGGAGGAGUUGGCCCUGUGUCAGGCUGAUAAAGAAUUUGUAUGGGCUUUGUGGAAACGUCUCCAGGUUACAAACCCAGAUCUCACACAAGUGGUCAGUUUGGUUGUGGAAAGGAGGCCACUGGAAGAUGUGUACCACCAAAACGAAGAAUAUACCAAAAAACAUAAAAAGUUGGGAUUGAGAAAAUGUGAGAUCCAACACAUGAAUAAUAUAAAGAUAUUCCAAGGUGAAGAUGAAAGAAGAUACAGAAGACUUGGUAGCAGUAGUUCUCAAUGAAGCAGGACUACAACAGUUCUUUAAGAAGGAUGACUCUGAAAAAAUUAGCACUGAUAGAUUGUAAUGUUUUUGAGAAAGAUAUUUCAUACUUUUUGAGAAUUUUAGAAAGGAUUAGUGAUAAGUAAACAGAAAACUGCACAAAUAAAAGUGACAUAAUUUUUGUUUUUUAAAAAAGGAAAAAGAGCUUUUCUUAACAUUUCUCUCCAUUACAUUAAUUAACAUGACUACUAAAUCAUCACUUCCUUGUAGGAUUCCAAAUGUGAUGCCAUAUUGAUUGUAAGGGGUGUGUGUAAGUUUCUUGAGAGUUCCUACUCUAGAUGAGUUCACUUCAAAAAAAUUCUUUUCAAUAUCCUGUUCUUUCUCAUCUCUCAGUUUUGCCUCUUAUUUUUCACAUGAGGAAUUAGAAAAGCUGUCUAUACUGCUUUUCUUUUGAGAUUCACACACAAUUCAAGGACCAAAAGGUCAGCAUAAAUUUAUGCUUCUCUUAGCAAGCAUGUGUUUAAUGUCAGAAGGAAGGGAAGGUGCAUAGGCUGUUAAGGCCUGAUAGAACCUAAAAGGAAGAAUAUACCAAAGGUAUUUGUAGGGGCACUAGAAAGCAAGCAAGACAUUUUCUGCUCUGAUGUUAACAGUUGUCAGUAAGUGAAAAAUUCUACAAUGAGGUAUAGCAUAUGUAUCUUCACAGUGAGAUUAAUGCAGUCAGCUAAACAGUGAGGUUGUUAAUAACAGAGUGAUGCAAUUUUUAACUGUUCAGAGAAACAAAAAGUUAUACAUGAAAGGAAGUGUCAUCAUAGUACACCAUGUCGCUUAGCUGUGAACCAUACAUAAUAAGUAUUAUGUUAAAAAACUAGACUAAAAAUCAGGAUUUACACCUGCCAUAUAAACACUGGUCAGACGGCACAGCCCCCAGAAGUGCUGGGGUAGUGUACCCUGAGGAAAACUCAAAGAGAGGGGCUCCCUGGCAAGUGUGUAGGCACUCCAUUGUCCUCUUCCCUCUGGGGCAGUAUAAAGCAGUCUGACAAGAUUACACAUGUCAGACUCUGGGAAAAUUACCCCGUCACUUCUGGUAUGAUGAGAGACUGGGAGACACAUUAUAAAAUGUAUAUAAUGGUUUUUGCUAUUCAAAUAUGUUUAUUUCCUGAAUGUGACUAGUAAAAAGUUAGAUAAUAAGGCAUGUUGAGUUAUUGGAAUCCUCUUUUGAUUCUAUGUGUUGGUUAGCAGAUAGCAUAUAUUAUCAUAGCAACGGAUACUAGCCCUCUCAAACACUCAAAAGAAAAUCUAUCUAAAUGUGUUUAGAUCCAAGGGCUAUCAAUGUUGGGAAGAAAUGGGUAAGAAGGAAAAAGAUUAUGUUCCUGUCUUUCUUGAUGUUAGUUAGCAAAGAAAGUAAAAAAAAAAAAAAAAAAGUUACGUCCCCAAAUUUAAGAAAUAAGUAAUAUAUGACCUAAUGAAUACAUUUAAGGAUGGUACUUGGGACUGCUUUUUUGGUGGUGGUGGUGGUUUUUUUGGUUAUGUCUUAAUAACUGUGUUUAAGUUGAAAAAAUAACAUGUAACUUCGAUGAUAUUAACAAUUAAAUAAAAAUACGU
rnacentral:sRNA from 1 species